AACGUAGGAGGCGAGCGUUAUCCGGAGUUACUGGGCGUAAAGAGCGUGUAGGCGGGUAUGCAAGUUUGGCGUGAAAGCUCCCGGCUAAACUGGGAGACUGCGUUGAAGACUGCGUAUCUAGAGGCAAGUAGAGGGACGUGGAAUUCCGGGUGUAGUGGUGAAAUGCGUAGAGAUCCGGAGGAACACCAGUGGCGAAGGCGACGUCCUGGGCUUGACCUGACGCUGAGGCGCGAAAGCCAGGGGAGCAAACGGG
rnacentral:rRNA from 1 species